GACGAACGCUGGCGGCGUGCUUAACACAUGCAAGUCGAACGGAAAGGCCCUGCUUGCAGGGUACUCGAGUGGCGAACGGGUGAGUAACACGUGGGUGAUCUGCCCUGCACUUCGGGAUAAGCUUGGGAAACUGGGUCUAAUACCGGAUAGGAGCCAUCUUUAGUGUGGUGGUUGGAAAGUUUUUUCGGUGUAGGAUGAGCUCGCGGCCUAUCAGCUUGUUGGUGGGGUAAUGGCCUACCAAGGCGGCGACGGGUAGCCGGCCUGAGAGGGUGUACGGCCACAUUGGGACUGAGAUACGGCCCAGACUCCUACGGGAGGCAGCAGUGGGGAAUAUUGCACAAUAGGCGCAAGCCUGAUGCAGCGACGCCGCGUGGGGGAUGAAGGCCUUCGGGUUGUAAACUCCUUUCGCUAGGGACGAAGCUUUUUUGUGACGGUACCUAGAUAAGAAGCACCGGCUAACUACGUG
rnacentral:rRNA from 1 species